AAGUACCUGUUUGCCAUUUGUAUGCCUUCUUUUGAGAAAUGUCUAUUCAGAUCUGUCCAUUUUUAAAUCGCGUUAUUAGAUUUUUUUCUAUUGAGUUUGAGCUCCUUAUGGAUUCUGGUUGUCAGUCCCUUGUCAGAUGGGUAUUUGUGCAGCUGUUUGCUCCCAUCCUGUGGGUUGUCUCCUCACUAUUGAUUGUUUUAUUUGCUGUGCAGAAGCUUUUUAACUUGAUGUGAUCCCAUUUGCCCAGGCCAUGUCCCAGAGAGUUUCCCCAAUGUUUUCUUUUAGUGGUUUCAUAGUUUGAGGUCUUAGAUUGAGGUCUUUAAUCUAUUUUGAUUUGAUUUUUGUACAUGGUGAGAGAUAGGGGUCCAGUUUCAUUUUUCUGCAUAUGGAGUUCCAGUUUUCCCAGCACCAUUUAUUGAAGAAACUGUCCUCUCCCCAAGAUAUGUCCUUGGCACCUUUGUCAAAAUAAGUUCACUGUAAAUGUAUGGAUUUAAUUUCUGGCUUCUCUAUUCUGUUCCAUUGGUCUGUGUGUCUGUUUUUAUGCCAGUGCCAAGCUGUUCUGGUCGCUGUAGCUCUGUAGUAUAAAUUGAAGUCAGGUAAUGUGAUCCCUCCAGUUUUUUGUUUGUUUUUGUCUUGUUUUGUUUUUUGCUCAGGAUGGCUUUGGCUAUUCAACGUCUUUCGAGGUUCCAUAUAAAUUUAGGAUUAUUUUUUCUAUUUCUGUGAAGAAUGUCAUUGGUAUUUUGAUAGGGAUUGCGUUGAGUCUGUAAAUUGCUUUGGGUAGUAUGGACAUUUUGGGUAGUAUGGACAAUAUUGAUUCUUCCAGUCCAUGGAGUAUGUUACCAUUUUUUGUGUGUGUCCUCUUCAG
rnacentral:lncRNA from 1 species